CCUACGGGAGGCAGCAGUGGGGAAUAUUGCGCAAUGGGCGAAAGCCUGACGCAGCGACGCCGCGUGAGGGAUGAAGGUCUUCGGAUCGUAAACCUCUGUCAGCAGGGAAGAACGGUCACUGUGCUAAUCAGCAGUGAAUUGACGGUACCUGCAAAGGAAGUACCGGCUAACUCCGUGCCAGCAGCCGCGGUAAUACGGAGGGUGCGAGCGUUAAUCGGAUUUACUGGGCGGAAAGGGGGCGUAUGCGGUAUGUGAAGUCCAGGGUGAAAACCCCGGGCUCAACCCGGGAACUGCCUUUGAAACUGGCAAACUUGAGUGUGAGAGAGGAAAGUGGAAUUACAGGUGUAGGGGUGAAAUGCGGAGAUAUCUGGAAGAACACCAGUGGCGAAGGCGACUAUCUGGCACAUAACUGACGCUGAGGAGCGAAAGCGUGGGUAGCAAACAGGAUUAGAUACCCCAGUAGUC
rnacentral:rRNA from 1 species